rnacentral:rRNA from 1 species
GAUGAACGCUGGCGGCGUGCUUAACACAUGCAUGUCGAACGGAAAGGCCCAAGCUUGCUUGGGUACUCGAGUGGCGAACGGGUGAGUAACACGUGGGUGAUCUGCCCUGCACUUCGGGAUAAGCCUGGGAAACUGGGUCUAAUACCGGAUAGGACCACAUUUUGGAUGGUGUGGCGGAAAGUUUUUCGGUGUGGGAUGAGCUCGCGGCCUAUCAGCUUGUUGGUGGGGUAAUGGCCUACCAAGGCGUCGACGGGUAGCCGGCCUGGGAGGGUGUACGGCCACAUUGGGACUGAGAGACGGCGCAGACUCCUACGGGAGGCAGCAGUGGGGAAUAUUGCACAAUGGGCGCAAGCCUGAUGCAGCGACGCCGCGUGGGGGAUGACGGCCUUCGGGUUGUAAACUCCUUUCGCUAGGGACGAAGCGUUAUGUGACGGUACCUGGAGAAGAAGCACCGGCUAACUACGUG